rfam:Mucispirillum schaedleri ASF457 genomic scaffold acYAd-supercont1.1, whole genome shotgun sequence.
GCGGAUGUGGCGGAAUUGGUAGACGCGCUAGACUUAGGAUCUAGUGUCUUCGGCGUGGGGGUUCGAGUCCCUUCAUCCGCA